rnacentral:rRNA from 1 species
GUGGGGAAUUUUGGACAAUGGGGGCAACCCUGAUCCAGCCAUCCCGCGUGUGCGAUGAAGGCCUUCGGGUUGUAAAGCACUUUUGGCAGGGAAGAAAAGUUUCGGGCUAAUACCCUGGAGCGAUGACGGUACCUGCAGAAUAAGCACCGGCUAACUACGUGCCAGCAGCCGCGGUAAUACGUAGGGUGCAAGCGUUAAUCGGAAUUACUGGGCGUAAAGCGUGCGCAGGCGGUUCGGAAAGAAAGAUGUGAAAUCCCAGGGCUUAACCUUGGAACUGCAUUUUUAACUGUCGAACUCGAGUAUGUCAGAGGGGGGUAGAAUUCCACGUGUAGCAGUGAAAUGCGUAGAGAUGUGGAGGAAUACCGAUGGCGAAGGCAGCCCCCUGGGAUAAUACUGACGCUCAUGCACGAAAGCGUGGGGAGCAAACAGGAUUAGAUACCCGAGUAGCC